rnacentral:rRNA from 1 species
ACACUGGGAUACCUUAGUACGGCGAGUGAAGCGGUAAAAGCUCAAAUUUGAAAUCUGGUACUUUCAGUGCCCGAGUUGUAAUUUGUAGAAUUUGUCUUUGAUUAGGUCCUUGUCUAUGUUCCUUGGAACAGGACGUCAUAGAGGGUGAGAAUCCCGUUUGGCGAGGAUACCUUUUCUCUGUAAGACUUUUUCGAAGAGUCGAGUUGUUUGGGAAUGCAGCUCAAAGUGGGUGGUAAAUUCCAUCUAAAGCUAAAUAUUGGCGAGAGACCGAUAGCGAACAAGUACAGUGAUGGAAAGAUGAAAAGAACUUUGAAAAGAGAGUGAAAAAGUACGUGAAAUUGUUGAAAGGGAAGGGCAUUUGAUCAGACAUGGUGUUUUUUGCAUGCACUCGCCUCUCGUGGGCUUGGGCCUCUCAAAAAUUUCACUGGGCCAACAUCAAUUCUGGCAGCAGGAUAAAUCAUUAAGAAUGUAGCUACUUCGGUAGUGUUAUAGCUUUUUGGAAUACUGUUAGCCGGGAUUGAGGACUGCGCUUCGGCAAGGAUGUUGGCAUAAUGGUUAAAUGCCGCCCGUCUUGAA